AAAAUCAAGUAAAUAAAUAAUUUAACAGGUAUAUAUCGUUUGCGUAAAACGUACGCGUGCAGCACCCGGGGUCAUUUCUUAAUAAUUAUAGUUCUACAGAUUAUUUUUACCAUGCGUGCGUGACGCGUUUAAAUAGCCAGAAGGUAGUUUAACCUCAAAAUUUCAUUUCGGAGCAGCUUACCUCAGUGUGCAUUUACUACAUUGAAAAUGAUUAUAUUUUGGCAAAAUGAGUGCAGGGAGUUUGCAAAAUUAUGCCAAUCAACACCACACAUAAUUUUGCUAGUCAGACGUCUUUGUGAUCCAAAGGAAAGUCAAGUAUUUAUUGACAAAAUUUAUUGAAGCACUUAUCCUCAAGGCUAUACAGAUAAUCCAUUUAUAUUAAGAAAACAAAUAUCACAACAGUUUACAACUGGAGAUCAAUGGCUGUGGAAGCCUUACGUCUAUUACAUGGAAUGUAUCCUUGUUUUGAAGAUAAGAAAGUUACGUGUACUAAUUGUAGUAAUACAUUGAAACAAGCUGAUUUACAUCUGAUAAACAAAUUUGUAAGACAUGCGGUGAAAGAUUUGAAAGAAAAAUGAAUUUGAAUAAUCAUGUAGUAUGCCAUCAAGUGGACCGACAUCAUGCUUGCAGAACUUGUGGAAAUUUAUUUUGAUCAAAAGCAAAUUUGCUGGCUCAUAUAGCUGAGAUUCAUCAAAUUGAACGUUUUCACAACUGUUCAGUGUGUGAUGCAGAUUUUUAAAGACCAUCAAGUCUUUUUAAUCAUAUGAAAAAUUCAUAGUUAUGUUGCGGGAAGAGCAUUGAUGUAAGGAAAUAAUACAGCUACACAUAUUGAUACCUCAAGUACAAUUGUUCGUAAAAACCUAUAAUUUUUAAUAAAUUUGACCAAGAUAUGGUAUUUACUGUGUUACCAAAUGGUGAAGUAGCCGAGUUUGAAUAUACUAUACAAAUACUUUUAACAGUUAUGAUAUGAAAUUAGAAGCUGCUGGUUAUACCAAUGAUAAUAAAACUACUUGUGUUGAUGUAAACAUGCAAAAAAGUAGAGGACGUUCUUGUGCAUCCAAAAGACUCGUACCAAAAGUGAUUUGAGCUCUCCAGUAGAGUGCGAAUAUUGUGAUAAACAUGUCCAAGUUUCAACUUUCUUGGCUACGGCUAAUGCAAAAUGGGGCAAACAUGCUUGUUCAGAAUGUGGUCAAAAAUUUACUACCAAACAAAAAUUGCUUGGACAUCAAUGGAUUCAUGUAAAGAAAACACAUUAAUGUGAGAUUGUGGUUCAAACUUUGCGAAACAAUCUAAGCUAGAUGAACAUAGAUUGUCAGAACAUCCAUGGAAAAAGUUUUGUAUCUCGACAAGGGCUUUGGAGACAUGGUAGAACGCGUGCAGGAAGCUCAGCUUAUUUCCAAUGUGACACAUGUUCCAAGACUUUUUCAUCUCGUCAAGGGUAUUUAAUUCAUCAUUGCACACAUACAGGUGAACGACCAUACAGUUGAAAUAAAAAGGGCAUAUACAUAACAGAAAUUCACAAAGGUUCAGCUGAGACAAAAAGUGGCUUAACAAUACAUGACAAAAUAUGCUGAAUAUUUUAGUAGCUCACAAAGGAAUAACAAUAAUACCAAGAACUGAACAAACAACUUCAAGUAUAAUAAAGAGGAUUCCACGUCCCCUUGCAAAAUCUUGUCCAACAGAUAAAACUUUUAAAAAUUGUAAUGAAUACCAAAAAUGACAAUGAACACAGCGACUCGACACAUUCUUAUAAAUUGAGGUUGUUGCUGGAAUGUACUAGAUAUAUUAAAAAAACUAGUUUGUUAGAAAAACUAGAUUGUUAAGUUUAGAAAGAGAUUCAUUCUACAAACAAGAUUUAAAACUUGUGAAGAUCGAAGCUACUGGUAUAGAUGAUACUACUUUGCGAGUGAAGAUCUUUGAUCCUACGAAUAAAAGGUAUGAACCACCUUUCCCAGCAAGAUAGACCAUUUAUAAAGAAGACUUGUAGACAACUUUUUGAACUCAAGAUAAUGAAAAUGUUCCUGGUUUCAAAGUAAUGAGAUAAAGAGAUAAAAGAACUUUAUUUAAUUUUAUAGGAUUUGGUGGCUUCAUAUUUUCUGAUCAGUUCCUUCAAAUAAGCUGUGUAUUACCUUCUCAUAAUAUUUAAGGACUCUAAGAGCAUAUAGGACUAAUUUAAGAUUAAAAACUAAUUGGCAAAAAUUUGCUCUCUUUAAUUCUGAUCAGCCUCCUACAGAAAAUGACAAUCUUUAUGGAUCUCAUCCAUUUUACAUAGUAGUUGCGAGCACAGGAAAAGCACAUUGUGUUAUAUUUUUAAAUAGUAUCGUCAUGUG